GACGAACGCUGGCGGCGUGCUUAACACAUGCAAGUCGAACGGAAAGAGAUGAAAGAGCUUGCUCUUUUAUUAAUUUCAGUGGCAAACGGGUGAGUAACACGUAAACAACCUGCCUUAAGGAUGGGGAUAACAGACGGAAACGACUGCUAAUACCGAAUACGUUCUAAGCAUCGCAUGGUGCAUAGAAGAAAGGGUGGCCUCUACAAGAAAGCUAUCGCCUUAAGAGGGGUUUGCGACUGAUUAGGUAGUUGGUGAGGUAACGGCUCACCAAGCCGACCAUCAGUAGCCGGUCUGAGAGGAUGAACGGCACACUGGAACUGAGACACGGUCCGACUCCCACGGGAGGCACCGUGGGCAAUCUUCCGCCUGGAUACAGUCUGACCCACCCCGCCUCGUGAACCACCAGGCCUUCGGAUUGUUCACUUCCGCGAUUCCGGACCAAACGCUUCGUGGUCAACACUCCUAGCUAUUCACGUCCCCCCACCCCAUCCCCCGCUCCCACUCGCGACCCCCAUCCUUUAUUACCCACGUGCCCACCCUCCCCCCCGCCUCCCUCGCCGCCAUCCCCUUCCACGCACUCUUCCCUCUUUU
rnacentral:rRNA from 1 species